AGAAAGUUUACAAUUGUUGUUUCUCUUGAUCAGUUGACUCAUUUAUCAUUAAAUAAUGACCUUUUUCUUUUGUAAUGAUUUUUUGCUUGAAUUCUAUUUUAUCUGAUAAAAGUUUAACCACUCCUUCUCUCUUUUGUUUGCCAGUUGCAAAGAAUAUCUUCUUCCAUUUAUUCGCUUUCAGCCUAUGGGCGUCCUUAAAGCUAAAAUGGGUCUCUUAUUGGGAACAUAUAGUUGAAUCUUGUUUUUUUAUUCAUUAAGCCAGUAUGUCUUUUGAUUAAAAGUUUAAUCCAUUUACAUUCAAGGUUAGUAUUGAUAGGUAAGAACUUAACUGCUGUCAUUUUGUUGUUUUCUGGUUGUUUUGUAGAUCCUUUGUUCCCUUCCUUCACGUUUGUCUUCCUUUGUGAAUUGGUGAUUUUCUAUAGUGCUAAGCUUUUAUUCCUUCCUCUUUCCCCUUUGUAUAUCUGCUGUAGUUUUGCUUUUUUUGUUGUUUUUGUUUUUUUUUUUUUGCUUUGUGGUUAACAUGGGCCUUAUGCAAAACAUCUUACAGUUAUAAUAGACUACUUUUAAUGGAUAAUGACUUAACUUUGGUCACUUACAAAUAGUCUAGACUUUUACCCUUCCCUCCAUUAUUUAUAAUUUUGUUGUCAGAAUUUACAGCUUCUUAUAUUGUAUAUUCCUGCACAAUUUACUGUAAGUAUAUUUUUAAUUAUUCCAACUUUUAACCUUCACAUUAGAAGUUUGAAAGGUUUACACACCACCAUUACAUUAAUGGGGUAUUCUGAAUUUUACUAUGUAUUUACCUCUACUAGUGAGUUUUACACUUUCAUGUUUUCAUGAUGAUAUGUUUUCAUUGUUUACAGCUGAAGAACUCCCUUAAGCAUUUCUCGUAAAGUAGGUCUAGUGGUGAUAAAUUUCCUCAGCUUUUGCUUUUCUGAAAAACACUUCAUUUCACCAUCAUUUCUGAAGAACAGACUUGCAGUUAUACUAUUGUUGGCUGCCAGGUUUUUUUUUUUUCUUUGAUUACUUUGAAUAUGUCACGCCAUUGUCUCCUGGCCUGCAAGUUUUCUGCUUAGAAAUCCACUGAUAGUCUUGGGCUGAGCACAGAAGCUCACAUCUGUAAUCCUAGCACUUUGGGAGGCCAAGGCAGGCAGAUCACCUGAGGUUGGGAGUUCAAGACCAGCCCAGCCAACAUGGCAAAACCCUGUCUUUACUAAAAAUAUAAAGAUUAGUCAGGUGUGAUGGUGCACACCUAUAAUCCCAGUUACUCUGGAGGCUGAGGCAGGAAAAUCGCUUGAACCCGGGAGGCAAAGUUUGCAGUCAACCAAGAUAACACCACUGCACUCCAGCCUGGGCAACAGUGAGACUCCAUCUCAGAAAACAAAACAAAAUAAAACAAACAGAGAGAGAAAGAGAGAGAGAGAGAAAGAGAGAGAGAGAGAGAGAGAAAGAAAGAAAGAAAGAUCCACUUAUAGUCUAAUGAAGAUUCCCUUGUAUGCCCUUUGACACUUUUCUCUUGAUGCUUUUGAAAUUCUCUCUGUCUUUGACUUUGACAUUUUUAUUAUGCUGUGCCUUGGUGAGGACUUCUUUGAUUGAUCCUGUUUUGGAACCUUUGAGUUUCAUCAGUCUGGAUGUCAGUAUCUUUCCUAAGGGUUGGGAAAUUCUCAGCAUUAUUUUAUUAAUUUUUUGUGUCUUUCUUCAUCUCUUCUCCAUCUGGAACUCCCUUAUGCAAAAAUUUGCUCACUUAAGGAUGUCCUAUAAGUUCUGUAGACUUUCUUCACUUUGUUCCAUUAUUUUUCUUUUUUCCCCUUCAACUAGGUUAUUUCAAAAGACCUAUUUUUCAAGCUCAGAGAGUCUUUCUUCUACUUGAUCUAGUCUUCUGUUGAAGUUCUUAGUUGUAAUUUUUAUUUCACUGAGUGCUUCAGCUCCAAGAAUGCUAUUAAUAUUUACUUCUUUUUUAAGAUAUCUAUCUCUGUUGAAUUUCUCAUUCAGAUCAUGGAUUGUUUUCCUAAUUUUAUUGAAUUGUCUAUCUGUAUUCUUAUGUAUCUCACCAAGUUUCCUAAAGAUUAUUUUGAAUUCCUUUCCAGGCAACUCUUAAUUUUCAUUUCUCUGGUGCUAGUUACUGGAGAAUUAUUGUGUUCCUUUGGUGGCAUCAUGUUUUCUUGCUUUCUCAUGGUUUUUGUGUUCCUGUGCUGAUAUCUGCACAUCUGAUGGAACAGUCAUCUAUUCCAAAUUUAUAGUGGCUUUCAUAGGGAAAGACUCUCUGAAUGGGUUUACUCUCUGAAACACAGGUGAUGCAGCUCUUCCACCAAGCUAAGGACUGUGACUCUGAGGCACUCCCCAGUAGCUAAGGCACAGGAGGACAAGAAUGUAGCUGUAACUCUGAUCUUGGGAACAAGGGUGUAGCCCUGGCGUGGCUCCAAGGGAGACGGGGUGUUCAAGAUGCUUGGUUUCUGGAGAGUGGCAACUUGGGCACCAGGAGAGGGGGCGCUGUGUAGUGGUGCCUCUGAACCCUGAAGUGAUGGGACACAGAAGUAACCCAGGCUCCGCAAGGCCAGGUGCGGUGGCAACAAGGACCCAAGAAUGACAGGACACAGCAGUGGCUUGGGCUCCAGGGAAGAGGAAGCAGGGCAACAGUGGCUCCAUGCCCCAGAGAGGUAUAGCACCUCAGUAAUUUGACUCUAGAGGGCUGAUCCAGAUCCAGCAAGAAGGGGUGCUGUGGCUUUUAGGACCAGAGCAUGUGGUGGCACAACUCAAACAAGUUUUUGUCUUCCUAGGAGGCAGGGUGCCACAUCAGCUCACGUACCUGGAGGGACAGAUACUCUGCUGGGCCAGGGCCCCAGUUCCCCAGUUCCUCAAAGGGUGGGCUUUCACUUUGGCUUAGGCACUGGGGGGUACAGCUGCUCCAAUUGAACACAUGUUUUUAGAAGAAUACUGGGCUGAAGAAAAGUCUAUCAAGGAGAGGAAGAAGUGAAAUUUGAAAUAACGGAAUAAAAGUAAGAAGGGUGGGGAUUUAGAGUGAUGUCAACAAGAAAGCUGACUGAGGUGCAUGAUGCUUAUCCCCAACCCCAACAAAAAAGAACCAAAAUAAAUACUCAACUAUGUCUUGACUAGAGUGCCUAAGAGAGUGCUGGAGUACAGCAAGGGCGUGGUGGCAACCCUGUGAAGCAUGGAAACUCAGGGCAGCCACAUACAGAAGGGAAGGAAAUGCCGUGCCUCUCUGCCACCCUAUCCCCCAGUUAGGAUCAGCUCAAAACUAGAAGGGGCUUCUCCUUGUGGGAAAAAAAUAAGAGACCCCUAGACUCUGGUUCCCAGCAGGUCAGGGUACCAGGUUGGUUCAGGCAGUGAGGGGUAUGGCUCUGCCUUUCUGGUGUGGCUUCUCCAUUGGACCAGUGCACUUGAUUCCCAAAGGGCAAGGCAUUGUGUGAGCUUAGGCACCGGGGAUGAGGCUGAUCCCCUAGGCUGAAGUUCCAAUUCCCUCAGUGUGGGGCAUCAGGUUGGUUCUGGUGUCCAGGGGAUGUGGCUGCUCCACUGGACCCAGGCUCCAAGUAGCCAGGAUGUUGCAGCCACUGGGACUGGAGAGAUGAAUUGCCUCCUAGGCAGCUUGUUCCCAGGCAGUAGGGAGCUACAGCAGCUUGGCUGGGGUACAACAUGCUACCGUGUAUGCGAGCAUGGUGCAAUGAUGGUAGAGCCUCAGGGAUGAAGAGAUGUAGUGGCUACGGAGCCCUGGAGCAGGACACAUCCUAGCAGUGGCUCUAGUUUCAAGAUGGUGCAGCACAGUAACAGCUUGGGCCACGGCGGGCAGGGCAGAAGAGGGAGCCUUCUCUGGAGUAGCACAGCUGUGUGAACUCCAAGCAUCUCCCAAAGCUGGGCUCAGGGCCUUUAAGAAUUUCAGGAUCCUCCAGUAUCCAAGACUGCAGGUAUACACAGCAGUGACAGAGGCCUCCAGGGGCCUCCUGCUUAUCUGCCAGCAGAGAGAAGCCCCUUCUGUUUCUGAGCUGCUCCAGACUGGGGGAUAGGGUGCCAGAGGCAAGGCAUUUUCUUCCCUUCUCUAUGUGGCUACCCUGAGUUUCUAUGCUUCCCAGGGUUUCCACCACUCUCUUGCUGUACUCCAGCACUCUCUUUUAGUCACUCCAGUUAAGAUGUAGUUGUAUGUUUGUUGUUUUGGUUCUUUUUUUGUUAGGGGGCAUGAGCAUUAGGCACUUCCAGUCAGCUGUCUUGUUGACAUCACCCUAAAUCCACACUUCUUACUUCUAUUGCCACUGCUUUCAAAUUCUCUCUCCCUCCCCUUGAUGGACUCUUCAGCCCAAUAUUCUUCUGAUCAAAUGUGGUGGGGGUGUCACCUGUCAGCUCUUUAAGUUACACAGGCGGUGCACCCCCGUGCACCAACUGCUUGGGGCUCAUGCUCAGUGUGGCUGCUUCAAAAAGAAAUUGUGUUCCAUGAAUCAGCAGCAUUGGCUUCACCUUGGAGCUUAUUAGAGACUCAGAAGCUCAAGCCUCUACCCAGACCUAUUGAAUUAGAAUUUGCAUUUUAACCAGAUCCCCACAUAAUUAGCAUACAUGGUGAAGUCUGAAAGCACUGCUCUGCAUGGACUUGAGCCCAAGUUUUCAGGACAAACACACACUAGGCACAAAGGCGAUUAUCAAGCUACUCAGGUAAUGCAAACUGGAAUUAGCUGCCACUUAUACUUGAGCCAGGUGACUGGAGGAGAGGAAGCCUGAGAACAUGUCAUCAGUUUAGAACAUCAUCUGGCAGUAACCCAGUGAAUGCCAAAUUGUCUCUUUCUCUGUAUUGAUAUAAUUACCAACAUGAGGAAAAGCAGGUUCUUUCUUCAGAUAAAGUAACCUUGUUAUGUAUCAGCCUGUGCUAGCUCCGCUUCUGAUUAGCAAUUUAUUCUGGGUGUUUAUUGACUGACCCCAUUUGGCCCCUGUUAUUUAUUUUAUUCCCACCAGCCACAGUUAUUUAGCUCCCAGGAUGAUGGAACAUAGAUGGCUUUAUGUAUAUUUGCAUUUUCUGUACAUUUUUCUAUUUUUCUUGCCUGCUCUAUAGACAGAACAUACUUAGGGACCAUGGCUGCUUGUUUAACUCUUCACAAUACCUAGCAAAGAAGCACUUACUGGAGAAGGUGAUGGAUGUCACCGAGUGGUGUCAGGAACCAUUCUUAGCACUGUUCAUGUCAAUUCUCUAUUUCAUAAGCCAGAAACAAAAUUGUUUUAAAGCCACACUGGGACACACUCAGUUCCACAGAACCGUGCACUAAGUCUAUGCUAUAAGUCAAUCAUAAAAAGCAGAUGCUAUCAUAUGCUUAUAAAUCAUUUUUCAAAAGUUCAUUUCAAAGCCAUUUAUUGGAACUUCAAGUGUGUAUUUUCCCAAUAUUAUUCCUUCAAUGGUAGCUCUGUUCCCAAGGUAGACCCUCGGAGUGGGAAGCCAUAUUCUUAUAAUGUUACUAAUUAACUAUGACCAUGAAAUAUUAAAUCCAGAUGGGUUUUUAUUCAACCUGAUGCUUAAGGUUGAAUGUUGGUGCCUAAGGGAGAGUUUGAAUCAAAAGACUAUUUGGUAGGAACAGAAGAUAUUGCAGAUCCUGGCUUUUGUAUCUUUGUUAGAGCUUUAAAAUGGAUAGCAUUGAUUCUUUAUGGUGUUUUUAAAUUAAAACUUCUGAUUUUUCUUUUUCUCACAAAAUGUGUAACUUUGCCUCAAUUCUUAUACUUAUUUCCCACAAGUGUCAUCGUUCUAUGACUCACAGAUAAAAAAGAAGGGGGAGAAAAAAAUAGAAGAAAGAAAGAAAAAUGCAAGCGAUCCUAAGUUUAGUGAGUCUGGUAUUAGAUGGAAUUUAAAAGAUUGUGUAUAUACAUGAGUGAAGGAUCGCAUAUAGAGUAGGUUCAAAAUAAUUGCAUUUUAGACCUGGAAGGGACCACAGUCAUAGUUGCCACAUGUUGUCUUGAGGCAGCAUUUUUCUAAUGGCAGUGCUUUUGCCCCAUAGGGGACAGUUCUGGUUUCUAUAGCUGGUGAGGAAGUACUACUGGCCUCUUGUGUGUAGGACCAGGGAUGGUGCUAUAUAGCCUACAAGACCUUACGCAGGUGGUCCCACUUGCUGCCCAGACUGUUCUUCUCUGUCCUUCUUUACUCACCCUGCUCUCCCCUAGCUUCCUCCCUAUUCAAACACACCAGGCCUGCUCCCUCAGGGACUUUGCACUUGCUACUUCCAAUGCCUUUUCUCCCAGAUCCAAAUGCCUUGAACCCUUAUCUCCAUCAACCUUUGCUUAAGUAUCCCCUUUCUGUAAGACCUUCCAUGAUCAUCUUGUUUAAACUACAACUUUCCACUAUCACUUCAGCACUUCUUAUCCUUGUUUCUUAUUUUAUUUUUCUUCAUAACACUGAUAAUUUUUGUCUGUAUGUUCACUGCUAUAUCCUUAGGACCUAGAAUAAUAGGUGCUUAAUAUAUAUUUGAUACAGGAAUGAAUAAAACAAGUGAAGGACAGUGAAAGAUAGAGUAUAAUUAAAUGUUAAACGAUGUGAAAUUGAAAACAUAUGUAAUGGGAGUUUUACAAUGAAUACAUUUUAUAUCUCUAUUUUAAAACCUUGAUACAUUUUGCUACCUUUUAGGUAUGUACUCCUAUAGUCACAGUGACCUUAUUUUCAAAAACAAAGAUUAGUAAGCACAGAAGAGGAAUAUAUUGAAAAACUCAUUGUUCAACGGGUUUAAAGUUUCAGUUGUGCUAUAUGGGUAAGUUCUAGAAAUCUUCUGUAAAAUCUACUGCCUAUAAUUAACCAUAUAAUAUUGUGCACUUCAAAACUUGUUAACAGGGUAGGUCUCAUAUUAAGUCCUUCUACAGAAAGAGAGGAAGGAAGGAAGGAAAAAAGGAAGGAAGGAAGGAAGGAAAGAAGGAAGAAAGGAGAGAAGGAGGGAAGGAGAAAAGGAAAAGCAAAAGGAAAAGGAAAAGGGAAAGGGAAAGGAAGAAAGGAAGGCAGGAAAAAGAAAAAAAGAGAGAGAGAGGGAAGGAGGGAGAAAAAAGGAAAGAAGGAAAAGAGAGUAAAGGGGAGAGAGACAGAAAAGGAAAGAAAGGAGGAAGAAAGAAAAAAGAAGGAAAGAAGGAAGGGAAAGGGAAAGGGAGAAAGGAAGGAAGGAAAAAGAAAAAAGAAAAGAAAGAGAAAGGGAGGGAGGGAGAAAAAAGGAAAGAAGGAAAAGAGAGAGUAAAGGGGAGAAAGAAAGAAAAGGAAAGAACGGAGGAAGAAAGAAAAAAGAAGGAAGGAAAAGAGAAAGAAAGAAAAGAAAGAGAGAAAGGGAAGAAAGAAAAGAAAGGGGAGAAAGAAAGGAGAGAGAGAGGAAGGGAGGAAGACAGAGGGAGGGAGGAAGAGAAAGGGAAGGAGGGAGGGAGGGACCUCUGUUUUUGGUGUCCCAAUAGAGGGAGAUAUUGAAUAUGUCUUACCUUGAUUGUGGUGAUAGUAUCAUGAGCGUUUUUGCAUGUUCAGAGUCACUAAAUUGUACA
rnacentral:lncRNA from 1 species